rnacentral:rRNA from 1 species
GUAGGUGGCAAGCGUUGUCCGGAACUAUUGGGCGUAAAGCGCGCGCAGGCGGUUCUUUAAGUCUGAUGUGAAAGCCCACGGCUCAACCGUGGAGGGUCAUUGGAAACUGGAGAACUUGAGUACAGAAGAGGAAAGCGGAAUUCCACGUGUAGCGGUGAAAUGCGUAGAGAUGUGGAGGAACACCAGUGGCGAAGGCGGCUUUCUGGUCUGUAACUGACGCUGAGGCGCGAAAGCGUGGGGAGCAAACAGGAUUAGAUACCCUGGUAGUCCACGCCGUAAACGAUGAGUGCUAAGUGUUAGGGGGUUUCCGCCCCCCUUAGUGCUGCAGCUAACGCAUUAAGCACUCCGCCUGGGAGUACGGCCGCAAGGCUG